UACGUAGGUGGCAAGCGUUGUCCGGAAUUAUUGGGCGUAAAGCGCGCGCAGGCGGUCCUUUAAGUCUGAUGUGAAAGCCCACGGCUCAACCGUGGAGGGUCAUUGGAAACUGGGGGACUUGAGUACAGAAGAGAAGAGUGGAAUUCCACGUGUAGCGGUGAAAUGCGUAGAGAUGUGGAGGAACACCAGUGGCGAAGGCGGCUUCCUGGACCGACACUGACGCUGAGGCGCGAAAGCUAGGGGAGCAAACGGG
rnacentral:rRNA from 1 species